rnacentral:rRNA from 1 species
CCUACGGGUGGCAGCAGUGAGGAAUAUUGGUCAAUGGACGGAAGUCUGAACCAGCCAUGCCGCGUGCAGGAAGACGGCUCUAUGAGUUGUAAACUGCUUUUGUACAAGGGUAAACCUGAAUACGUGUAUGCAGCUGAAAGUACUGUACGAAUAAGGAUCGGCUAACUCCGUGCCAGCAGCCGCGGUAAUACGGAGGAUCCAAGCGUUAUCCGGAUUUAUUGGGUUUAAAGGGUGCGUAGGCGGAUUGCUCAGUUAGAGGUGAAAUGUCCGAGCUGACCUCGGGAACUGCCUCUCAUACUGUUGUUCUAGUGAGUAGAUGCUGUAGGCGUACUGUAUGGUGUAGCGGU